UGGGGAAUAUUGCACAAUGGGCGCAAGCCUGAUGCAGCCAUGCCGCGUGUGUGAAGAAGGCCUUCGGGUUGUAAAGCACUUUCAGCGAGGAGGAAGGGUAGUGUGUUAAUAGCACAUUGCAUUGACGUUACUCGCAGAAGAAGCACCGGCUAACUCCGUGCCAGCAGCCGCGGUAAUACGGAGGGUGCAAGCGUUAAUCGGAAUUACUGGGCGUAAAGCGCACGCAGGCGGUUUGUUAAGUCAGAUGUGAAAUCCCCGCGCUUAACGUGGGAACUGCAUUUGAAACUGGCAAGCUAGAGUCUUGUAGAGGGGGGUAGAAUUCCAGGUGUAGCGGUGAAAUGCGUAGAGAUCUGGAGGAAUACCGGUGGCGAAGGCGGCCCCCUGGACAAAGACUGACGCUCAGGUGUGAAAGCGUGGGGAGCAAACA
rnacentral:rRNA from 1 species